CGCAUCGAGGUAUCCGCGGUCUUGUGGCCACGUGAGCGUGUUUCUCUCCUCCAUCCAUUGCUUCCUCACCUCCACUGUCACCUUCAUUCGCAUGCAAGGCUCCGCCACGACCAUUCAACUGUCCAAUCCAAGAGCUCAUCCCAGCUGCAUGAUGCAUUGAACAGUGGACUAGCGCUUGUUUCGACUCAAGCAAAGGUAACCUCCCCAGAGCGCAUCAUACUGCAAUCCCUUGUUGAAGAUGUCGAGCAAGGCAAAAAACAUCCCAGACUGCCAACGCGAACAAUGUUAUGCGGGAGAGGCCCAGCGAGAUUUAUUACACUACGCACAGGUUGAAUUGAUGCUGCCACUAAUAAAAAUCUUCAAGUCCUUCCGACACGGUCAUCCCAACCUUUGACAACUACUAGGACCUCCAUAGUACUAAAAGCAACUUCAAGAGUGAUCCCUUUUGCUUUCGGUAAAGCUUUCUCAAAAUUUUAGGACGACUAGACCCAAGCGAUCUGAAGCAAGUUACUGUCGAUCGUUCCAAACCAACGACCUGAGGUAAACCAAUUCAAUGCCUCAAUGUUCAUACUCUGAAUCCGCGAUAUCCUUGGUUUCAUUCAUUUUAGAAUUGCCGGA
rnacentral:sRNA from 1 species